UCCCUGCUGGCUCAGAGGUUAAAGCGUCUGCCUGCAAUGUGGGAGACCUGGGUUUGAUCCCUGGGUAGGGAA
rnacentral:tRNA from 1 species